rnacentral:rRNA from 1 species
GACGAACGCUGGCGGCGUGCUUAACACAUGCAAGUCGAACGGAAAGGCCCUGCUUUUGUGGGGUGCUCGAGUGGCGAAAGGGUGAGUAACAAGUGAGUAACCUGCCCUUGACUUUGGGAUAACUUCAGGAAACUGGGGCUAAUACCGGAUAGGAGCUCCUGCUGCAUGGUGGGGGUUGGAACGUUUCGGCGGUUGGGGAUGGACUCGCGGCUUAUCAGCUUGUUGGUGGGGUAGUGGCUUACCAAGGCUUUGACGGGUAGCCGGCCUGAGAGGGUGACCGGCCACAUUGGGACUGAGAUACGGCCCAGACUCCUACGGGAGGCAGCAGUGGGGAAUAUUGCACAAUGGGCGGAAGCCUGAUGCAGCAACGCCGCGUGCGGGAUGACGGCCUUCGAGUUGUAAACCGCUUUCGCCUGUGACGAAGCGUGAGUGACGGUAAUGGGUAAAGAAGCACCGGCUAACUACGUG